GACGAACGCUGGCGGCGUGCCUAAUACAUGCAAGUCGAACGAGAGCACCCGGUGCUUGCACUGGUCAAUCUAGUGGCGAACGGGUGAGUAACACGUGGGUAACCUGCCCAUCAGAGGGGGAUAACAUCCGGAAACGGAUGCUAAAACCGCAUAGGUCUUCGAACCGCAUGGUUUGAAGAGGAAAAGAGGCGCAAGCUUCUGCUGAUGGAUGGACCCGCGGUGCAUUAGCUAGUUGGUGAGGUAACGGCUCACCAAGGCCGUGAUGCAUAGCCGACCUGAGAGGGUGAUCGGCCACAUUGGGACUGAGACACGGCCCAAACUCCUACGGGAGGCAGCAGUAGGGAAUCUUCCGCAAUGGACGCAAGUCUGACGGAGCAACGCCGCGUGAGCGAAGAAGGUUUUCGGAUCGUAAAACUCUGUUGUUAGAGAAGAACAAGUGCUAGAGUAACUGUUAGCGCCUUGACGGUAUCUAACCAGAAAGCCACGGCUAACUACGUG
rnacentral:rRNA from 1 species